rnacentral:rRNA from 1 species
AUUGAACGCUGGCGGCAGGCCUAACACAUGCAAGUCGAACGAGUGGCGGACGGGUGAGUAAUGUCUGGGAAACUGCCUGAUGGAGGGGGAUAACUACUGGAAACGGUAGCUAAUACCGCAUACCAUCAGAUGUGCCCAGAUGGGAUUAGCUUGUUGGUGGGGUAACGGCUCACCAAGGCGACGAUCCCUAGCUGGUCUGAGAGGAUGACCGGCCACACUGGAACGGAGACCCGGUCCAGACUCCUACGUGAGGCAGCAGUGGGGAAUAUUGGACAAUGGGCGCAAUCCUGAUGCCUGCAUGCCGUGUGUAUGAAGACGGCCUUCGGGUUUUAAAGUACUUUCAGCGGGGAGGCGUUACCCGCAGAAGAAGCACCGUCUAACUCCGUGCCAGCAGCCGCGGUAAUUC